AGUGGUAUCCCCAACCCACCAGGGUUCAAAUCCUGGUGUUCGCAUUAUUUCUGGAUUUAUUUCAGGAUUUCCGGCGAUAGGGAUAGGGUGUGCGUGUGUACCUUCAUAAGGGUGAGUACAUGCGCAUGUAUAUGAGCGCUUGUGUCUGUAUUAGAGUCCAGGCUCCAGCGUUCCAGCGAACACAAGAUCAAUCUGGCAGAGGUACAGAGUCCAGACUCCAGCGCUCACGCCGGCCUCCGGCGCCGCCGUUCGCCGCCGUGUCGGCUACUGCUGGGCAGCCUUCCUGUGCGCAGUGCGCUGUUCGCCCAAUCUGCCGCUUCUUGACUGCUGUACCUUGGUAAUUUUUUUAUGCUUUCCCGGUACCUUGACUGUUGUAUCAUGUUCUACAACGUCGGUGUGACAUUUGUAUAUAUUACUGUGUGUCUAUGUAUCAGUGUAUAUAAACUGCUCUUAAUUGCAAUAAUGUGUGUAUGUGUAUCAAGUCAUAUAUCUAGUGUAUUGUUGAACUCGAAUUGAUGUGAUUGUCAAUUUCAUUUCAUAUUGUAGAAAAACAAGAUGAAGAGAUUUUUUUCACCGGUGUCUGCAACGAGGGUGUCCACACCUAUCAUUUUAGAUAUAUUUGCAUGUACUAACGAUGAUGAUAUUGUAUAUCGAUUUCAAUCAUAUAUGUCUCGCAAAGGGCUUUUACCCCGUCGAAGUGGUGUUGGCUCUUCUUCCAGCGAUGAUGAGUUUAGGUGACGCACUGAUGAAGCAAAUCAUUGAUUUGGUAUUUUUUUUAUCACAUAAUGUUCUUUGUAGUGCUUGACAUGUUUUAUCUAAUUUUUUGUACCAUUAAGCAUUGAGCUUAAAUUCUAAA